GACGAACGCUGGCGGCGUGCCUAAUACAUGCAAGUAGAACGCUGAAGGAGGAGCUUGCUUCUCUGGAUGAGUUGCGAACGGGUGAGUAACGCGUAGGUAACCUGCCUGGUAGCGGGGGAUAACUAUUGGAAACGAUAGCUAAUACCGCAUAAUAGUAGAUGUCGCAUGACAUUUGCUUAAAAGGUGCAAUUGCAUCACUACCAGAUGGACCUGCGUUGUAUUAGCUAGUUGGUGAGGUAACGGCUCACCAAGGCAACGAUACAUAGCCGACCUGAGAGGGUGAUCGGCCACACUGGGACUGAGACACGGCCCAGACUCCUACGGGAGGCGGCAGUAGGGAAUCUUCGGCAAUGGACGGAAGUCUGACCGAGCAACGCCGCGUGAGUGAAGAAGGUUUUCGGAUCGUAAAGCUCUGUUGUAAGAGAAGAACGAGUGUGAGAGUGGAAAGUUCACACUGUGACGGUAUCUUACCAGAAAGGGACGGCUAACUACGU
rnacentral:rRNA from 1 species